UUCUUGUAAAUAUCUUUCACACUGUGUACUUUCAUAGUUACAUAAUUUUAAGACAUGGACAACAUGAGAGGAAACUAACAAAGAUCAAUGUGGUAAAACUGAUUCCAUCUGGAGCCUUCCUAAUUAUUGCUUGUUUAAGAAUACUUUAUUUCCUCUGGAUAAUAUUAAAUAAAUCUCCAAUAGAGUUAUGACUCUUGCUUUGGAUGGCAGUGUAGCUUAGAGUAUUUUUUGUCUCUCCCACAGCGGUGUCUCCUGAGUUAAAAAAAUCUGAAACGCAGCUGAUUGACAGUUAUUACAUCCAGCAAAGGAACAAAUUCAUCAAAACAACUAAUCCGAAUAUAGAUCAAAAUAUCAACAAAAGCGACUCUAAUUUGUGGCUGAAUAAUGAUAAGCUGGGCUUUCGCUCUCCUUUAGAUGUGGCCCUUUUAUUCCAGCGGAGAGUCAUAAGCCCUUUUUUUAUUGCUUGUCAUGGAUUCCUAGCUGGAGUAGCAGUCAUGCAACUAGUCUUGGCAUAUUAUUUGAUCUCUGGGCACAAUUUUGAUCAAACUACAUCUGAAACUGUGUUUCGAGUGUAUCAGCAGUUGGCUUUGGUUGGACCUUCUUGCUUCGCAUUUUUCAUCUCAAUUUGUUUCAUGUCUAUACUGGACAGAGUUGAUCUUUUUCACAUUUUCAAGUGUGACCCUCGUGACUGGAUUUCUUACCGCCGCAGUUGGGCCAUUGGACUCAUUUAUUUCUGUGGCCUUGUCAUCAAUGCUGUUUGUUUUCGAUAUGAUCACAUGAUAUCACACUAUCCGUCAAAGGAUCCUACAAUUGUCAAUUUUCAAGGGACCUCACCGCCAGAAGUUGUUUCAGACUGGUAUAAAAACCAGAGCAUCUCAUCACUUGUAUCAACUUGGCAAAUUCUGAAUGCUGUAAGAUGUGUUUGUGCCAUCUUAGGAUGGAUUUUGCUUUGCUUUUCUCAGACAACUGACUUGUUAGCCGAUCACUUACAUGAGGUCCCUUUUUUGGUGGCGAAUCAGUAA
rnacentral:lncRNA from 1 species